UACAGAGGGUGCAAGCGUUGUUCGGAAUUAUUGGGCGUAAAGCGCACGUAGGCGCUUCGCAAGUCGGAUGUGAAAUCCCUCGGCUCAACCGAGGACGUGCAUACGAAACUGCGAAGCUUGAGUACUGAAGAGGAUCGCGGAAUUCCCGGUGUAGAGGUGAAAUUCGUAGAUAUCAGGAGGAACACCGAUGGCGAAGGCAACCGCCUGGGCCUGUACUGACGCUGAGACACGAAAGCGUGGGGAGCAAACAGG
rnacentral:rRNA from 1 species